AAGUCGUAACAAGGUAUCCGUAGGUGAACCUGCGGAUGGAUCAUUAAAGGGACAUGGCUAUCAACAUCUAGCUCUCUCUUAACCCAUGUGGUGCGAAUAGACGCUCGUAUUUGUGGCAGUCGAUCUCCACGAUCGCGUCACACAUAUUAAAUCAUAUAAAAUACACGAUAUAUUCUAAACAAAAUAAUACAUUAUACAACUGCCGGCAACGGAUCACUCGGCUCUCGCGUCGAUGAAGAACGUAGCAAACUGCGAAAUUUAAUGCGACCUGCAACACGUGAGUCAUCGAGUUUUUGAACGCACAUUGCACCGACGGGUCCACCUGUCGGUCUACCUGUCUGAGUAUCAUUGAAGCCAUUCGACCCAAUGGUCGGAUUUGAGCGUCCAUUCGUCGCUUGAAAUCAAUAGCAAGGCAUCGAGAGAGAAGCAAUGUGUUGCAUCGAUAAUUAUCCAGCAUCGCGCUUUUCGUUCUUUGCUCGCGCAUACUCUCACACUCUUGAUCUCAGAUCAGGUAGGAUGACCCGCUGAACUUA
rnacentral:rRNA from 1 species